rnacentral:rRNA from 1 species
AUUGAACGCUGGCGGCAUGCUUUACACAUGCAAGUCGAACGAGUGGCGAACGGGUGAGUAACAUAUCGGAACGUACCGAGUAAUGGGGGAUAACUAAUCGAAAGAUUAGCUAAUACCGCAUAUUAUUCGAGCGGCCGAUAGCGGAUUAGCGAGUGGGUGGGGUAAAGGCCAACCAAGGCGACGCUCAGUAGCGGUUCUGAGAGGAUGAUCCGCCACACUGGGACUGAGACACGGCCCAGACUCCUACGGGAGGCAGCAGUGGGGAAUUUUUGACAAUGGGCGCAAGCCUGAUCCAGCCAUGCCGCGUGUCUGAAGAAGGCCUUCGGGUUGUAAAGUACUUUUGUCAGGGAAGCGGUACCUGAAGAAUAAGCACCGGCUAACUACGUGCCAGCAGCCGCGGUAAUAC